rnacentral:rRNA from 1 species
GACGAACGCUGGCGGCGUGCCUAAUACAUGCAAGUCGAGCGGACUUUCAAGAAGCUUGCUUUUUGAAAGUUAGCGGCGGACGGGUGAGUAACACGUGGGCAACCUGCCUGCAAGACGGGGAUAACUCCGGGAAACCGGGGCUAAUACCGGAUAAUAUCUUCCUUCGCAUGAAGGAAGGUUGAAAGGCGGCGCAAGCUGCCGCUUGCAGAUGGGCCCGCGGCGCAUUAGCUAGUUGGUGAGGUAACGGCUCACCAAGGCGACGAUGCGUAGCCGACCUGAGAGGGUGAGCGGCCAAGCUGGGACGGGGACACGGCCCAGACUCCUACGGGAGGGAGCAGUAGGGAAUCUUCCGCGAUGGACGAAAGGCGGACGGAGCAACGCCGCGUGAGCGAAGAAGGUCUUCGGGUCGUAAAGCUCUGUUGUCAGGGAAGAACAAGUACCGUUCGAACAGGGCGGUACCUUGACGGUACCUGACCAGAAAGCCACGGCUAACUACGUG